GGGGGGGGGGGGGGGGGGGGCGGGGGGGGGGGGGGCGGGCGGGGCCGGCGGGGCGAGGGGCGCACGGGGGCGUAACGCGGGGGAAGCUGCCCUUAGGGUCGGAAUAACUCCCCGAAAGGGGUGCUAAUACCGGAUAAUGUCUUCGGACCAAAGAUUUAUCGCCUUUGGAUGGGCCCGCGUUGGAUUAGCUAGUUGGUAGGGUAAAAGCCUGCCAAGGCGACGAUCCAUAGCUGGUCUGAGAGGAUGAUCAGCCACACUGGGACUGAGACACGGCCCAGACUCCUACGGGAGGCAGCAGUGGGGAAUAUUGGACAAUGGGCGAAAGCCUGAUCCAGCAAUGCCGCGUGAGUGAUGAAGGCCUUAGGGUUGUAAAGCUCUUUUACCCGGGAUGAUAAUGACAGUACCGGGAGAAUAAGCUCCGGCUAACUCCGUG
rnacentral:rRNA from 1 species